CUGGCUCAGGACGAACGCUGGCGGCGUGCUUAACACAUGCAAGUCGAGCGAUGAAGUUCCUUCGGGAACGGAUUAGCGGCGGACGGGUGAGUAACACGUGGG
rnacentral:rRNA from 1 species